rnacentral:tRNA from 1 species
UGAUUAUUUAGUUUAAAAAAAAAUCAAUGAUUUACAUUCAUUAGAACUCUAUAAAAACUAUUCUAAAUCU